rnacentral:lncRNA from 1 species
UUUUUUUUUUUUCUUUUAAAGUAAGCUCUAGGGACGCCUGGGUGGCUCAGCAGUUGAGUGUCUGCCUAGGGCCCAGGGCAUGAUCCUGGAGUCCCUGGAUCGAGUCCCACAUUGGGCUCCCUGUAUGGAGCCUGCUUCUCUCUCUGCCUGUGCCUCUGCCUCUGUGUCUCUGUGUCUCUCAUGAAUGAAAGAAUGAAUGAAUGAAUGAAUGAAUGAAUGAAUAAAUAAAUAAAUAAUCUUUUAAAAAAUAAUAAUAAAGUAAUCUGUACACCCAACAUGGAGCUUGAACUCACAACCCUGAGAUCAAGAGUCAUCUGCUCCCCUGACUGAGCCAACCAGGCACCCCUGCUUUGACCACUUCUGCCCAGCAUCAUAAUGAAGGGCCAAACCAGUGCAGUGAUUAGUACAAGAAAAAAGUAAAACAUGUAAGUCUGAAAAGGAAGAGCUAUCCUUGUUCACAAGAUGACCUGAUUAUGUAUAUAGAAAAACCCACAGGUACAUAAUCAGAAUUAAUAAGUGAGUUUAGGAAGCUUGCUAAUAUCAAUAUUAAAAUGUAUUUCUGAAAAAAAUAAAAUAAAAUGUAUUUCUGCAUAAUAGUAUAUACUACUUAAAGCAAUAAUCGGAUAAAUUAUAAAAAGCUUAAAAAGAUACCACUGGGGGGAGGGGGCCUGGGUGGGUCAGUCAGUGAGGCCUUUGGCUCAGGUCAUGAUGCCAAGAUCCUGGGAUUGAGUCCCAUGUCAGACUCCCUGCUCAGCAGGGACCCUGCUUCUCCCUCUCCCUCUGCCCCUUCCUACCUCUGCUCCUUCUCACACAUGCUCUCUCGCUCUCGCUCUCUCUCAAAUAAAUAAACAAAAUCUUAAAAAAAAAAAAAAAAAAAAAAAGGGAUCCCUGGGUGGUGCAGCGGUUUAGCGCCUGCCUUUAGCCCAGGGCGCGAUCCUGGAGACCCGGGAUCGAAUCCCACAUCGGGCUCCCGGUGCAUGGGGCCUGCUUCUCCCUCUGCCUGUGUCUCUGCCUCUCUCUCUCUCUCUCUCUCUCUCUCUGUGACUAUCAUAAAUUUAAAAAAAAAGAAAGAAAAAAGAAAAAGAUACCACAGUGUCAAAUUACUAUGUCACGGAGUACAUAGUAAUAAGUCUAAUGGACCAUAUACCAGACUUCUAUGUAAAACUAAACAUUAUUGAAAGAAAGGCAAAUCUAAAGACAACUGCGUGACAGACAUGGAAAUGUCACCUAGAUGCCCUCAAGAAGGGACUUUCUGCUCAGCCAUGCAGUGAUCCACACACAGCCUCCAGCUUCCAGCUCCUUCAGGAUCUGUCUCAGGUGCAGAGCUGCCUUGCCUCAAGGCACAUGGCUCCCAGGGCAGCACACAUCCAGUAACUGAAUGGGACAGGAACAUAAAAGUGCCAUUAAGACCUCGUACAGGACAUUCCAAAGCCCUUGAGACUGAAGGCAACAUUCUGCCACAUUAUUGACUGAAGCUUUGUUGGGCUGGCAUCACUGUUUUGACUCCUUCCUUUGCCUAGAUCUUGCUGCCUCCCCUUCCUCCCCCAAGUACCUAUCCCUAUAAACAUCCUGCACCCCACACUCUGCCUCUGACUCUGCCUCUGCUUCAGAAGACUCUAACCCAUGACAGCUGACACCAGGAGUUUGAGAGAGCAGACAAAGAGAUGGAUUUGGAACAGGCUGCCAAGGAGGGCCCCAUCUCUGUUGAGUUGGUGUUAAGUAGGUGGGUCUUAAGACAGCCCCUGGCACAAGCCUUAAUAUUGGUACCUGAGAAGUACAGGUCAAAGGGAAAGCACUAGCAAAAGUGGUAUAUCAGACACUUGAGACUUCUACAGAGAAAAGAGAUUUGGAGGCCCAUUGGUAAGCAUCAUGAAUGUUCUACAAGAAGAUGACGCACAGCAGAAUGUAAUAAGCAAUAGUAAGCCAGGCGUGAAAACCAGCCCCCUUGGUUGCAUAUAAUGAAGCUCUCAUCGCCUGCCAUGCGAGGCAGAAAAAGCUAAGGACCAAGCCAAAGGACAUUAAGCACUCAACAAAGGCAAAGUCUUUUGUGUCUGGACUCUAGAUGAGAUACAAACAUGUGACAAUGGCUCUGAAGAUUUUGACUCUCUAGACUCGUGUGAACCUUCUGGUGCUGCAGAAGUGGCUCGUCAUCUCCAAACCUCCCUGCAAGAGCUAGCACUCCAUGCUGGAACACCAUGCAGAAGCCUCUCCCUGUGAGGGAGUAUAGGCUCCUCUGAGAAGCCCCCUCCUCAGCCACUUUGCCUAUAACCAGCAUAACACCACAUAUGCCAGCCAGGGAUAUGCUAAGGGACCAUACACCACAAAAGGGUGGCAACCUUGCCGGUAGGCAGUGACAGCAGCCAGAGACUUGCAUUCUAUGAGUGCUUGAUCAAAGGGGCCAGAACAGGGGCACCUGAGAGGCUCAAUUGGUUGUGUCUGCCUUUGGCUUGGAUUGUGAUUUCCAGGUCCUGGAAUCAAGUUCCCCAUCAGGCUUCCUUCUCACCGGGAAAUCUUAUUCUCUCUGUCUCUCUCCCUCUGCCCCUCCCACUGCUCAUUCUUGUUCUCUGUCUCUCUUUCUCUCUCAUAAAUAAAUUUAAAAGUUACGCCUGGAUGGCUCAGCGGUUGGGCAGCUGCCUUCAGCUCGGGUCAUGAUCCUGGAAUCGGGGAUUGAGUCCCACAUCAGGCUCUUGUGAGGAGCCUGCUUCUCCCUCUGCCUAUGUCUCUGCCUCUCUCUCUGUGUGUCUCUCAUGAAUAAAUAAAUCUUUAAAAAUAAAUAAAUAAAUAAAUUUAAAAGGAGGAGGAGAAGAUAAAAUUGGGUAAAGAGGAGUCUUGUUUUUUUUUUUUUAAGGAUUUUUAUUUAGUUAUGAGAGACAGAGACAUAGGCAGAGGGAGAAGCAGGCUCCAUGGGGGGAGCCCGAUGUGGGACUUGAUCCCAGGUCUCCAGGAUCAUGCCCUGGGCUGAAGGCAGGUGCCAAUCCGCUGGGCCACCGGGGCUGCCCAAGAGGAGUCUUGUUGACUUGAGAGUGCUCUGCGGAGAUACAGGACUUAAUGUUCGGGUAAGGAUCCAGUAUUGCCGUGAUAGAAGGUGAAGUGAGUUGAAAGGUAUUAGGAACACUGAAUUGCAAGACUCACUAGAUGUUUGUUGUGUCUCACAGAAAGGCUCAAAGGACAUAGUAUUUACCAGGCCAUAAGGAAUGUGUCAGUUAGGAGGUCACCACCUCCACCAAGAAGUUCAAUAGGGCAGGUAGUUAAAGAACUAAGAGACUGAUUUUUUUCAUUUUAUUUCAUUUUAAUUCUCAUUUCAAAAGUGACAAGUAGGGCAGCCCCUGUGGCGCAGUGGUUUAGCGCCGCCUGCAGCCCGGGGCGUGAUCCUGGAGACCCUGGAUCGAGUCCCACAUCAGGCUCUCUGUAUGAUGCCUGCUUCUCCUUCUGCCUGUGUCUCUGCCUCUCUCUCUCUCUGU